rnacentral:rRNA from 1 species
CCUGAGAAACGGCUACCACAUCNNNNNNNNNNNNCAGGCGCGCAAAUUACCCACUCCCGGCACGGGGAGGUAGUGACGAAAAAUAACGAUACGGGACUCAUCCGAGGCCCCGUAAUCGGAAUGAGCACACUUUAAAUCCUUUAACGAGUAUCCAUUGGAGGGCAAGUMUGGUGCCAGCAGCCGCGGUAAUUCCAGCUCCAAUAGCGUAUAUUAAAGUUGUUGCGGUUNGGCCGGGANCUCUUGUGCGGAUUUCCUUCGCGGGGUCCGCCUCGAACCCGGUUCUUGGGGAGGGCCUACUCAUACCCCUCGCGGUGCUCUUAACCGAGUGUCUCGAUGGGCCGGCACGUUUACUUUGAACAAAUUAGAGUGCUYAAAGCAGGCAGCAGCCGCCUGAAUACUGAGUGCAUGGAAUAAUGGAAUAGGACCUCGGUUCUAUUUUGUUGGUUUUCGGAAUCCCCGARGUAAWGAUCAAUAGGGACAGANNNNNNNNNNNNNNNNNNNNNNNNNNNGGUGAAAUUCUUGGAUCGUCGCAAGACGGACCGAAGCGAAAGCAUUUGCCAAGAAUGUUUUCUCUGAUCAAGAACGAAAGUUAGAGGUUCGAAGGCGAUCAGAUACCGCCCUAGUUCUAACCAUAAACGAUGCCAGCCAGCAAUCCGCCGAAGUUCCUCCGAUGACUCGGCGGGCGGCUUCCGGGAAACCAAAGCUUUUGGGUUCCGGGGGAAGUAUGGUUGCAAAGCUCAAACUUAAAGGAAUUGACGGAAGGGCACCACCAGGAGUGGAGCCUGCGGCUUAAUUUGACUCAACACGGGAAACCUCACCAGGCCCGGACACCGGGAGGAUUGACANAUUGAUAGCUCUUUCUUGAUUCCGUGGGUGGUGGUGCAUGGCCGUUCUUAGUUGGUGGAGCGAUUUGUCUGGUUAAUUCCGAUAACGAACGAGACUC